UGUGACGUGACCGCAUGGUCUGCGUUUGGAAAGAUUUUUCGGUUGGGGAGGGGCUCGCGGCCUAUCAGCUUGUUGGUGAGGUAAUGGCUCACCAAGGCGUCGACGGGUAGCCGGCCUGAGAGGGUGACCGGCCACACUGGGACUGAGACACGGCCCAGACUCCUACGGGAGGCAGCAGUGGGGAAUAUUGCACAAUGGGCGGAAGCCUGAUGCAGCAACGCCGCGUGAGGGAUGACGGCCUUCGGGUUGUAAACCUCUUUUAGCAGGGAAGAAGCGAAAGUGACGGUACCUGCAGAAAAAGCGCCGGCUAACUACGUGCCAGCAGCCGCGGUAAUACGUAGGGCGCAAGCGUUAUCCGGAAUUAUUGGGCGUAAAGAGCUCGUAGGCGGUUUGUCGCGUCUGCUGUGAAAUCCCGAGGCUCAACCUCGGGCCUGCAGUGGGUACGGGCAGACUAGAGUGCGGUAGGGGAGAUUGGAAUUCCUGGUGUAGCGGUGGAAUGCGCAGAUAUCAGGAGGAACACCGAUGGCGAAGGCAGAUCUCUGGGCCGUAACUGACGCUGAGGAGCGAAAGGGUGGGGAGCAAACAGGCUUAGAUACCCUGGUAGUCCACCCCGUAAACGUUGGGAACUAGUUGUGGGGUCCAUUCCACGGAUUCCGUGACGCAGCUAACGCAUUAAGUUCCCCGCCUGGGGAGUACGGCCGCAAGGCUAAAACUCAAAGGAAUUGACGGGGACCCGCACAAGCGGCGGAGCAUGCGGAUUAAUUCGAUGCAACGCGAAGAACCUUACCAAGGCUUGACAUAUACGAGAACGGGCCAGAAAUGGUCAACUCUUUGGACACUCGUAAACAGGUGGUGCAUGGUUGUCGUCAGCUCGUGUCGUGAGAUGUUGGGUUAAGUCCCGCAACGAGCGCAACCCUCGUUCUAUGUUGCCAGCACGUAAUGGUGGGAACUCAUGGGAUACUGCCGGGGUCAACUCGGAGGAAGGUGGGGAUGACGUCAAAUCAUCAUGCCCCUUAUGUCUUGGGCUUCACGCAUGCUACAAUGGCCGGUACAAAGGGCUGCAAUACCGUGAGGUGGAGCGAAUCCCAAAAAGCCGGUCCCAGUUCGGAUUGAGGUCUGCAACUCGACCUCAUGAAGUCGGAGUCGCUAGUAAUCGCAGAUCAGCAACGCUGCGGUGAAUACGUUCCCGGGUCUUGUACACACCGCCCGUCAAGUCAUGAAAGUCGGUAACACCUGAAGCCGGUGGCCUAACCCUUGUGGAGGGAGCCGUCGAAGGUG
rnacentral:rRNA from 1 species